rnacentral:rRNA from 1 species
UACGAAGGGGGCGAGCGUUGUUCGGAUUUACUGGGCGUAAAGGGCGCGCAGGCGGCUCAUUUUGUCAGGCGUGAAAGCCCCGGGCUUAACCUGGGAACUGCGUUUGAUACGGAUGGGCUAGAGUUCGGGAGAGGAGAGUGGAAUUCCCAGUGUAGAGGUGAAAUGCGUAGAUAUCGGGAGGAACACCUGAGGCGAAGGCGGGCUACUGGGCCGAUACUGACGCUGAUGCGCGAAAGCCAGGGGAGCAAACGGG